GAAUUUAGUGUUUUGAGGGAAGGAGAGACAUGUCCCAAAUGUGAGAAGUGUCUGGAGAUAGUGAAGGAGCCAAGCAUCACGGUAAUUUAAAACCCCACUCUCCUCGUAGCUUUAGGAAAGGCUGAUGAACACAUAGUGUUUUUUUUAUUUUUAUUUUUUUUCCCCGCUGUACAGCAUGGGGAUCAAGUUACUCUUACAUGUAUACAUUUUUCCCCCCACCCUUUGUUCUGUUGCAAUAUGAAUAUCUAGACAUAGUUCUCAAUGCUAACACAUAGAGGUGAGAUGUGAGUGAGAUCAAAAGUCCAGCAGGAGCUGGACCAGAGCCAGAAGGCACUGUUAAGAGCACUAGCUGCUGGGAAUUUGCAGAAAUUGUUGGAAGGUCAUUGGAUGGAGGGAUCCAGGCAGCUUUUAUAACAUGCUGUUAUAACAGGGUACUUGCAAUGACAUCUGAUUGCUGCUGUGGUGCUGUGUAACUCAUAGAAUGUUUAAUGGUGAUCCAUUCCUUCCCCCGUCCCCCGCAAGAUCUUUUUUAUGGGUGCUCCAAGAACUAUCUUGAUAUUCCCCUUUCUGCCCAAUGGAAGCCAUUUUUAGUUCACACUUUAAAAGGGAAGCACAACUUCCCAAGAAAGGGCUUAUCAUUCCCUUCUUUUCCUAAUUUACACAGACCCUGAGGAUGCUUGUCAGAGCCACAGAGCUUUGGCCUGCCUAGCUAGACCAGCACUGUGUAGGGAGAGAAGUGGGAUAGGAAGAUCUUCCAUAAAGUAUUGGGAAGACUGAUCUGAGCAAGUAGCUCAGCAAAUAUUAAGACUCCAGUGAAUGCCCUAAAGCAAGAUGCCAAGGUCUCCAUGUAGUUGGAUUGGGAACAGAGCAAGUCCAGCCAGUGCCAAAGUAAAUAAGCACUCUCUCCUUCCUUAGGGAGGAAGACCCAGUUGAUGGAAGAACCUAUUGUUUAGCCUUAAUAUCUACUGUAAUUCCAAACUUUGGGUACAGAGAUCAGUGAGCUCUGACUGGCAUCAUUCUCCCUUCUUAGAUAAGAGUACCUUGACUUUCCUUUAGGGGACUAUUCUCAGAUCAAGUUCUGGUGGAGUAAAGUCCAUCCUUUGGUUCUAGAUUGAGGACAUAUGACUGUGCCAAUCAAAGAAGAGCAGUUAGCUUAGGCAUGGUCUCAAAUUCAGGCCAGUCAGGACUCUGGAUUUUCAUUGAACUGUUAAGAAGUGAAUUCUCAGAGUUCCCAUUGUGGUGCAGUGGAAAUGAAUCCGACUAGGAACCAUGAGGUUGUGGGGUGGAUCCCUGGACUUGCUCACUGGGUUAAGGAUCCAGCAUUGCCAUGAGCUGUAGUGUAGGUCGAAGAUGUGGCUCAGAUCUUGCGUGGCUGUGGCUGUGGCCAUCAACUGUAGCUCCCAUUCGACCCCUAGCCUCGGAACCUCCAUAUGCCUCAAGUGCAGCCCUAAAAAG
rnacentral:lncRNA from 1 species